rnacentral:lncRNA from 1 species
CCAUUUCAAAAUAUUUCGCAAGUUAUAUAUAAUUGUAUAUUACAAUUUUGAAAAUAGUUACAAUAUACAAUUCUUUUAAGAGACAAUCUUGUUUGAAUCCAAAGCAGCAGUCUUUCUUCAUCACUUCUUCCACGAUCUUCAAUUGUACCUUAAUUUGAUCAACAUCAUCUUGAUUUGUCAUUUAUAUGUUUUAAUUUCACUAACAUACUUGUAAAUAAUAAUAAUAAUAAUAAAAGAUUUUAGCAUCAAGAAUAAGGACCGACUUAUUAUAUAUAUGAGUAUGUGUACAUAUAGGAUCUAUAUUCAAGGAGAAACAAAUAUGUCUAGAUAAUUCUUUUACUAAAAGUUUUAAUAGAUAAAAUCAAGGGGAAAUGCAAAGUAACAAUAAAAGUAAGCAAACCUACAAACUUUUUAAACUUCUUAAAAGGAUC